rnacentral:lncRNA from 1 species
AGAACCUGGAACUUUGUUUAAAUGACUUGUUUAAUGUAUGAAUCUUGCUGUGAUGUUUAAAGUUGAUUUGUAGACAAUUUUCAUAAGCUUCCCAAAAUGUCCUCACUCAUGUUUGUUAGAUCUGCCUAGCACUAGUUAUGAUCUGUUUACUGAGCUAAUUCUGUUAUAUGUUGCUUGCUGUUAUAGGUUAUCAUGAUGAUGUUUUGGGCUUAGUUAACUUACUACCUCGUGUGAACUUGUUAUAACUGUGUUACUCCGUAAAUGAGUGUCCAGUGAGUCCAUUAUGUUAUCAAGCAUUCAUCUUUUAGCAUGUACACCUUCUUAUUCAUCGAACAUGCAAUAGGUGCAUCGGACGUGGC